GACGAACGCUGGCGGCGUGCUUAACACAUGCAAGUCGAGCGGUAAGGCCCUUUCGGGGGUACACGAGCGGCGAACGGGUGAGUAACACGUGGGUGACCUGCCCUUAGCUCUGGGAUAAGCCUGGGAAACUGGGUCUAAUACCGGAUAUGACCUCAUGACGCAUGUUGUGGGGUGGAAAGCCUUGUGCGGCUAGGGAUGGACCCGCGGCCUAUCAGCUUGUUGGUGGGGUAAUGGCCACCAAGGCGACGACGGGUAGCCGGCCUGAGAGGGCGACCGGCCACACUGGGACUGAGACACGGCCCAGACUCCUACGGGAGGCAGCAGUGGGGAAUUUUGCGCAAUGGCGAAAGCCUGACGCAGCGACGCCGCGUGAGGGAUGACGGCCU
rnacentral:rRNA from 1 species